UACGUAGGGUGCGAGCGUUAAUCGGAAUACUGGGCGUAAAGCGUGCGCAGGCGGUGAUGUAAGACAGAUGUGAAAUCCCCGGGCUCAACCUGGGAACUGCAUUUGUGACUGCAUCGCUGGAGUGCGGCAGAGGGGGAUGGAAUUCCGCGUGUAGCAGUGAAAUGCGUAGAUAUGCGGAGGAACACCGAUGGCGAAGGCAAUCCCCUGGGCCUGCACUGACGCUCAUGCACGAAAGCGUGGGAGCAAACAGG
rnacentral:rRNA from 1 species